rnacentral:tRNA from 1 species
GCCCCUGUGGCUCAGUGGUAGAGCGACUGACUUGUAAUCAGUAGGUCCUGGGUUCAAUUCCCAGCGGGGGCA